GCGCGAAACCUUUUCAAUGCACGCAAGUGUGAUAAGGGGAUCCCSAGUGCUCAUGCUUUGCAUGGGCUUUUGCCAAGAGUAAAUACCUUGGCGAAUAAGUGGUGGGAAAGACKGGUGCCAGCCGCCGCGGUAACACCAGCGCCACGAGUGGCAAUCAUAUUUAUUGGGCCUAAAGCGUCCGUAGCCGGUUUGGUAAAUYUUUUGUGAAAUCGUUGGGCUUAACYUAACGGCGUGCAGGRGACACUGCAWAACUCGAAACCGGGAGGAGUCAGAGGUAUUCUUGGGGGAGCGGUAAAAUGYUAUAAUCCCMGAAGGACCACCUGUGGCGAAGGCSUCUGACUAKAACGAAUCUGACGGUGAGGGACGAAAGCCAGGGGAGCGAACCGGAUUAGAUACCCGAGUAGUCCUGGCCGUAAACGCUGCGAGCUAGGUGUUGCAUAUUCUUCGUGAAUGUGCAGUGUCGAAACGAAGGUGAUAAGCUCGCCGCCUGGGAAGUACGUUCCCAARAUUGAAACUUUAAGGAAUUGGCG
rnacentral:rRNA from 1 species